rnacentral:rRNA from 1 species
GACGAACGUUGGCGGCGUGCUCAACAUAUGCAAGUCGAACGGAAAGGCCCUGCUUUUGUGGGGUGCUCGAGUGGCGAACGGGUGAGUAACACGUGAGUAACCUGCCCUUGACUUUGGGAUAACUUCAGGAAACUGGGGCUAAUACCGGAUAGGAGCUCCUGCUGCAUGGUGGGGGUUGGUAAGUUUCGGCGGUUGGGGAUGGACUCGCGGCUUAUCAGCUUGUUGGUGGGGUAGUGGCUUACCAAGGCUUUGACGGGUAGCCGGCCUGAGAGGGUGACCGGCCACAUUGGGACUGAGAUACGGCCCAGACUCCUACGGGAGGCAGCAGUGGGGAAUAUUGCACAAUGGGCGGAAGCCUGAUGCAGCAACGCCGCGUGCGGGAUGACGGCCUUCGGGUUGUAAACCGCUUUCGCCUGUGACGAAGCGUGAGUGACGGUAAUGGGUAAAGAAGCACCGGCUAAGUACGUG